AACGCUAGCUACAGGCUUAACACAUGCAAGUCGAGGGGCAGCAUGAGCUUAGCUUGCUAAGCUUGAUGGCGACCGGCGCACGGGUGAGUAACACGUAUCCAACCUCCCGCUUACUCAGGAAUAGCCUUUCGAAAGAAAGAUUAAUGCCUGAUGGUAUGUUAAGCACACAUGUAAUUAAGAUUAAAGAUUUAUCGGUAAGCGAUGGGGAUGCGUUCCAUUAGGUAGUAGGCGGGGUAACGGCCCACCUAGCCGACGAUGGAUAGGGGUUCUGAGAGGAAGGUCCCCCACAUUGGAACUGAGACACGGUCCAAACUCCUACGGGAGGCAGCAGUGAGGAAUAUUGGUCAAUGGGCGCGAGCCUGAACCAGCCAAGUAGCGUGAAGGAUGAAGGUCCUACGGAUUGUAAACUUCUUUUAUAAGGGAAUAAAGUCGUCCACGUGUGGGCGUUUGCAUGUACCUUAUGAAUAAGGAUCGGCUAACUCCGUGCCAGCGGCCGCGGUAAUACGGAGGAUCCGAGCGUUAUCCGGAUUUAUUGGGUUUAAAGGGUGCGUAGGCCGGCGUGUAAGUCAGCGGUGAAAAGUUGGUGCUCAACAUUGACCCUGCCGUUGAUACUGCAUGCCUUGAGUGCGGAUAAGGAAGGCGGAACUCGUGGUGUAGCGGUGAAAUGCUUAGAUAUCACGAAGAACUCCGAUUG
rnacentral:rRNA from 1 species